GGGCUGGUAGUUAAACCUGGUAUAAUGCGCCCUUGGCUAGGGUGAGGCUCCGGGUUCAAAUAGACGCAAGCGGGCAAAGCUUGCGCUUUGCAAGUCCCGGCCAGUCCA
rnacentral:tRNA from 1 species